rnacentral:rRNA from 1 species
GCCAGCAGCCGCGGUAAUACGGGGGGUGCAAGCGUUGUUCGGAAUUAUUGGGCGUAAAGAGCGUGUAGGCGGCUUGUCAAGUCAGAUGUGAAAGCCCUGGGCUUAACUCAGGAAGUGCAUUUGAAACUGGCAGGCUAGAGUAGGGGAGAGGGAAGUGGAAUUCCUGGUGUAGAGGUGAAAUUCGUAGAUAUCAGGAGGAACACCGGUGGCGAAGGCGACUUCCUGGCCCUAUACUGACGCUGAGACGCGAGAGCGUGGGUAGCAAACAGGAUUAGAUACCCUGGUAGUCCACGCCGUAAACGAUGUUCACUAGGUGUUGGGGGUAUUGACCCUCUCAGUGCCGGAGCUAACGCAUUAAGUGAACCGCCUGGGGAGUACGGUCGCAAGACUAAAACUCAAAGGAAUUGACGGGGGCC